rnacentral:rRNA from 1 species
GACAGAGGGUGCAAACGUUGUUCGGAAUUACUGGGCGUAAAGCGAGUGUAGGCGGUCUGUAAAGUCGGUGUGAAAGCCCGGGCUCAACCCGGGAAGUGCACUCGAAACUCACAGGCUAGAGUAUCGGAGAGGUUGGUGGAAUUCGUCGGUGUAGAGGUGAAAUUCGUAGAUAUCGAGAGGAACACCGGUGGAGCGAAGGCGGCCAAC